GAUGAACGCUGGCGGCGUGCCUAAUACAUGCAAGUCGAGCGAAUGGAUUGAGAGCUUGCUCUUAUGAAGUUAGCGGCGGACGGGUGAGUAACACGUGGGUAACCUGCCCAUAAGACUGGGAUAACUCCGGGAAACCGGGGCUAAUACCGGAUAACAUUUUGAACCGCAUGGUUCGAAAUUGAAAGGCGGCUUCGGCUGUCACUUAUGGAUGGACCCGCGUCGCAUUAGCUAGUUGGUGAGGUAACGGCUCCACAAGGCAACGAUGCGGAGCCGACCUGAGAGGGAGAUCGGCCGCACUGGGACUGAGACACGGCCCAGACUCCUACGGGAGGCAGCAGUAGGGAAUCUUCCGCAAUGGACGAAAGUCUGACGGAGCAACGCCGCGUGAGUGAUGAAGGCUUUCGGGUCGUAAAACUCUGUUGUUAGGGAAGAACAAGUGCUAGUUGAAUAAGCUGGCACCUUGACGGUACCUAACCAGAAAGCCACGGCUAACUACGUGCCAGCCGCCGCAGUAA
rnacentral:rRNA from 1 species